CUUCCUCUUCUUCCAAUGCUUAUUUAGCGCAAGCAAGCAAACAUCCAUCUCAAUUUGCAGUGUGACAGAAGGAAAAAAAUGAAGCCCUGAUUCACUCACCUCCCAUUUCUCUCUUUCUUCAAACUCUUUAAAUGUGUAGGACCUUGUUGACUGGAUGAAUAUUAGCUAUUCUCUCUAAUGAACAUGGUAAAUGUUUCCCUCCUAGUACCCCUUUGCUUCUGAAAGUGAGAGUUGGUUUCUGGCAUCUGUAACAUUUAGCAAUGUAGUCUGUGUCUCUCUGCUGAAGAUUAGCCAUUAUCAAACCACCCUUUAUUGAGUUGCUAUUGGUAGAGAUUGAAUCUCAUAACCUCCAUGCUGCGAUGGGUGGUGGGUGUUACAAUUUUUCAAGCUGGUAGCCCACAUAAUCAUGCUUGUAUAUGUACAUGAAUAAUCUUUGUAUUUUCCCGACAAUACACAGCAAUCAUUGACUUCUCAAGCUCAGUAGUUGGAUGCACAUGUAUCUUUGUAUUUUCUUGACAAUCUCCAACUUGUUCUAGGCUUCUAAAUAAUCUUGGAAUCAUUAUGUCACCUUUUAAUUCUGAGAUAUUAUUAAAGAAACUUAACAUUUCAUCCAAAUCAAAUGAUUAAAGUACAUGAGAUUUGCAUAA